rnacentral:lncRNA from 1 species
AAAUUUAUUUACAUAAGUUCAUAUCAGCUCCCACCCAGACACACACCACAGGAAACACCUACUUCGCUAAUGGGUAAAUGUGUCAUGAAACACAGUAUCAUACGAAUCUGCAAAGAAAGCUGCAUACUUCAAAAACCUAAACAGCAUCCUUGUAGAAAAGGAUAGGAGACGAAGUUAAUAUGAGUGAAAAUUUUUCCGACACUUCUUGACUAUGCCACUAUGCCCUUCUUGGUUUGGCUGUACAAAUAUGAUAUGAAGGUAUAGUUGCACUACAUGAGCAAUUAUGCUAUGUAUGGUAGCACUGACA